UCUAAUUAGUGAUGCACAUGAAAAAAUUAAUGAGAUUCCCACUAUCCCUAGCUACUAUCUAGAAAAACCAAAACCAAGGAAAUGGGCUUGGAAGAAUUAGCAGGGAAAGAAGACCUUGUUGACCUUGAAUCUCGUCCAAAUUUGUGAAAUGACUUGAGAGGUGUAGAAUAAGUGUGAGUCAUUUUCAGCGCAAGUUUAAUAUGGCCACUACUUUUAAUGUUAUUUUAAUUAUUUUGUGGGGAGGAGAUGAGGUAUUGUUCAUAUGUUAAAAUAUAACACACAUUUACUCAAAGUGUUGUCAUUGAUGACAAUGGUUGAGAGAUCAUUCUUCAUGCACUUGAUGGUAAUGACUUUAGGAAACCAAAGAGGAUCAUUUUUUUUAAGGACUUACAAAUUUCCU
rnacentral:ncRNA from 1 species